GAACUGAACAUGGUCUAAGUGGUUAGAGCGUCCGUCUCAGAUGCGGAAGGUUGUAGGUUCAAACCCAGACUGAGUUAUACCA